AGUGAACGCUGGCGGUAGGCCUAACACAUGCAAGUCGAACGGCAGCACAGUAAGAGCUUGCUCUUACGGGUGGCGAGUGGCGGACGGGUGAGGAAUACAUCGGAAUCUACUUUUUCGUGGGGGAUAACGUGGGGCAACUUACGCUAAUACCGCAUACGACCUACGGGUGAAAGCAGUGGAUCUUCGGACCUUGCGCGAUUGAAUGAGCCGAUGUCGGAUUACCUAGUUGGCGAGGUAAAGGCACACCAAGGCGACGAUGCGUAGCUGGUCUGAGAGGAUGAUCAGCCACACUGGAACUGAGACACGGUCCAGACUCCUACGGGAGGCAGCAGUGGGGAAUAUUGGACAAUGGGCGCAAGCCUGAUCCAGCCAGACCGCGUGAGUGAAGAAGGCCUUCGGGUUGUAAAGCCCUUUUGUUAGGAAAGAAAAGCAGCAGGUUAAUACCCCGCUGUUCUGACGGUACCCAAAGAAUAAGCACCGGCUAACUUCGUG
rnacentral:rRNA from 1 species